rnacentral:tRNA from 1 species
AGACUAAAUUUUAAGUUUUGAAAACUUUUGAGGAGUUUAUAUUCUUAGUCUG